UGGUAAGUAGUUUAAACAAAACAAAUGAUUUCGACUCAUUAAAUUAUGAUACCCAUACUAACCAG
rnacentral:tRNA from 3 species